rnacentral:rRNA from 1 species
GGUGAACGAUGGCGGUGCGCCUAAUACAUGCAAGUCGAGCGAGAAAGUCCAAACCCGCAAGGGGGAGGGCGAGUACAGCGGCGAACUGGUGAGUAACACGUGAUCAACCUACCUCUCCGACAGGGACAACCUUUGGAAACAAAGGCUAAUACCUGAUGGCGUUGCUUGCCCACAAGGGCGAGCAAAUAAAGGGGCGUUUGCUCCGCGGGGAGAUGGGGUUGCGGCCCAUCAGCUAGUUGGUAGGGUAACGGCCUACCAAGGCGAUGACGGGGAGGGGGCCUGAGAGGGCGAACCCCCACAUGGGGACUGAGGGACGGCCCUGACUCCUACGGGAGGAAGCAGUGGGGAAUAUUGCGCAAUGGGCGAAAGCCUGACGCAGCAACGCCGCGUGCGGGAUGACGGCCUUCGGGUUGUAAACCGCUUUCAGCAGGGAAGAAGCCGCAAGGUGACGGUACCGGCAGAAGAAGCACCGGCUAACUACGUGCCAGCAGCCGCCGCGGUAA